AAUGUUGUGGUGAUGAUGAUGACCAUCGCAACGGCUGUGUGCUUCUUGGAGGUUUAUCCAGCGCAACACAUUUGAAGUUGAUAACAGAAUCUCCUGGACAGUUUAUUUUCAGAAGGGAUUUGAAAUGGUGCCCCACAUUUGUUAAGUUGAAGAAACUAUUUCUGGAUGAUUGGUGUGUGGAAGCUGACCUCCAUGCACUAGUUUGCAUGCUUGAGCAUUCACCAAUCCUUGAGCAGCUGACACUUCAAUUGAGUAAGGGACCUGAGCGUACUUUGGAAAGGGAGCAAAAAUAUGGUCUGAUGGAGAAAUCAACCUCUGUAUCACAGCACCUUAAGAUGGUCAAUGUGAAAUGUCACGAGGUUGAUCAGAGAGUCUCCAAAAUUUUGAAGUUCUUGAGUACAUUUGACAU